rnacentral:rRNA from 1 species
AUUGAACGCUGGCGGCAGGCUUAACACAUGCAAGUCGAGCGGAGAUGAGGUGCUUGCACCUUAUCUUAGCGGCGGGCGGGUGAGUAAUGCUUAGGAAUCUGCCUAUUAGUGGGGGACAACAUUCCGAAAGGAAUGCUAAUACCGCAUACGCCCUACGGGGGAAAGCAGGGGAUCUUCGGACCUUGCGCUAAUAGAUGAGCCUAAGUCGGAUUAGCUAGUUGGUGGGGUAAAGGCCUACCAAGGCGACGAUCUGUAGCGGGUCUGAGAGGAUGAUCCGCCACACUGGGUCUGAGACACGGCCCAGACUCCUACGGGAGGCAGCAGUGGGGAAUAUUGGACAAUGGGCGGAAGCCUGAUCCAGCCAUGCCGCGUGUGUGAAGAAGGCCUUUUGGUUGUAAAGCACUUUAAGCGAGGAGGAGGCUCUUAAGGUUAAUACCCUUGAUGAGUGGACGUUACUCGCAGAAUAAGCACCGGCUAACUCUGUGCCAGCCGCCGCGGUAAAAC